ACCCGCUGAACUUAAGCAUAUCAAUAAGCGGAGGAAAAGAAACCAACCGGGAUUACCUCAGUAACGGCGAGUGAAGCGGUAACAGCUCAAAUUUGAAAUCUGGCUCCUCUGGAGUCCGAGUUGUAAUUUGUAGAAGAUGCUUUGGGUUGUGGGUUCGGCCUAAGUUCCUUGGAACAGGACGUCAUAGAGGGUGAGAAUCCCGUAUGUGGCCGAGGCCCGCGCCUAUGUAAAGCUCUUUCAACGAGUCGAGUUGUUUGGGAAUGCAGCUCAAAAUGGGUGGUAAAUUUCAUCUAAAGCUAAAUAUGGGCCAGAGACCGAUAGCGCACAAGUAGAGUGAUCGAAAGAUGAAAAGCACUUUGGAAAGAGAGUUAAACAGUACGUGAAAUUGUUGAAAGGGAAGCGCUUGCACCCAGACUUGGGCGCUGCUGAUCACCUUGCGGUCUCCGCGAGUGCACUCGACAGCGCACAGGCCAGCAUCGGUUCGGGUGGCUGGAUAAAGGCCGUAGGAACGUAGCUCCUUUCGGGGAGUGUUAUAGCCUACGGUGCCAUGCAGCCCAGCCGGACCGAGGACCGCGCCUUCGGGCUAGGAUGCUGGCGUAAUGGGUGUAAGCGACCCGUCUUGAAACACGGACCAAGG
rnacentral:rRNA from 1 species